rnacentral:rRNA from 1 species
GACGAACGCUGGCGGCGUGCUUAACACAUGCAAGUCGAACGGAAAGGCCCUGCUUUUGUGGGGUGCUCGAGUGGCGAACGGGUGAGUAACACGUGAGUAACCUGCCCUUGACUUUGGGAUAACUUCAGGAAACUGGGGCUAAUACCGGAUAGGAGCUCCUGCUGCAUGGUGGGGGUUGGAAAGUUUCGGCGGUUGAGGAUGGACUCGCGGCUUAUCAGCUUGUUGGUGGGGUAGUGGCUUACCGAGGCUUUGACGGGUAGCCGGCCUGAGAGGGUGACCGGCCACAUUGGGACUGAGAUACGGCCCAGACUCCUACGGGAGGCAGCAGUGGGGAAUAUUGCACAAUGGGCGGAAGCCUGAUGCAGCAACGCCGCGUGCGGGAUGACGGCCUUCGGGUUGUAAACCGCUUUCGCCUGUGACGAAGCGUGAGUGACGGUAAUGGGUAAAGAAGCACCGGCUAACUACGUG